rnacentral:rRNA from 1 species
AACGAACGCUGGCGGCAUGCCUAACACAUGCAAGUCGAACGAGACCUUCGGGUCUAUUGGCGCACGGGUGCGUAACGCGUGGGAACCUGCCCUUAGGUUCGGAAUAACUCCCCGAAAGGGGUGCUAAUACCGGAUAAUGUCUUCGCACCAAAGAUUUAUCGCCUUUGGAUGGGCGCGCGUUGGAUUAGCGAGUUGGUAGGGUAAAAGCCUACCAAGGCGACGAUCCAUAGCUGGUCGGAGAGGAUGACAAGCCACACUUGGACUGAGACCCGGCCCAGACUCCUACGCGGGGGAGCAGUGGGGAAUAUUGGGCAAUGGGGGAAGGCGUGAUACAGCAAUGCCGGGUGAGUGAUGAAGGCCGUAGGGUUGUAAAGCUCUUUUAGCCGGGAUGAUAAUGACAGUACCGGGAGAAUAAGCUCCGGCUAACUCCGUG